AACUGACCCCACACACACCGUGUACAGUAUCUACAAACAGUAUCACUUCAUCUGUCGAUAAUUAUGCAGGCUUGUAGUGACAGAAAGGAUUGACGGUCACAUACUGGUAUGUUUAUUUCUCGGUCUGGUGGUGACAGUGGUAGAGGAUCACACUGAUGAUUGAACGGAUUAGUAAAUGCUUUUAUUUCAGUAAAUCAAGUUUAUGACAAAUUCCCAGCUUUCUGUCUUUCAGAGCUCUUCUUGUAGUAGAUUAGACUAAAAUGAAUACCUGUUGCUUUUAACCUCCCUUUUACAUCUGCUUAUAAGAUCAGGCACUGCUGCUGACUUUUCAAAGGCAUAUACUGUAAACAUAAAUCCGGCACAUAAAUGGAUCUCUUCACCUGAUAACAAAAAUGGCUUUGGAUAGAUUUGGUUGAAACAUAUACACGAGGCUGACCAAUACCAAAGCCUGAAAAUGUAAACUGUGUUAAUCUAAAUGUAAACUGUGGACAAGCAGUUGGAGAGAUUUCACAUUAAAAAAGUUGCAGAGAUGGGUGGCAUUGUGGUGCAAUGGACAGCAUUGCUGGGGUCUUGGGCUCAAUUCAAGGCCCGGGGUGCUGUCUGUGUGGAGUACGCAUUUUCUCACUGUGCUCCUGUGGGUUUCCUCUGGGUGCUCUGGUUUCUUCCCAAAGUCAGAAAACAAACUGGUAUGUAAUUAGCUUCUAGGAAAAUUGUUCCUAGAGUGUGUGUGUAUCUGUGUCUGUGCCUGUCUGCCCGGCAAUGGACUGGCCUCCUGUCCAGAGGGCAGACUGCCUUGCACUUGUUGCUUACAAGAUAGACUCAGACUCCCCCUUGACCCUGUCCUGGAUUAAGCAGUUAGAAAAUGGAUGAAUUAAAAGACUUGCCAUUUGUUCUCGUGACUCCUUUAAGCGCUAAAACAAGCUUCCUUCGGUACUGAACAUUUUUCGGACAUUUCUUUGGUUAGUGCAGCGUGCUUCACUGCUCAGCGAAGAUUCCCAUCUCCACAUUCAGCCUCUGAGCACUGCUCCAGUGAAGUUUCAGAUCAGCGAGUUCAAACCUAUUCCACUUUGGGAACGCUCACCGUGUUCUUCCACGUGGUUCUCAGCCAUUCUCCCUCUUUGCCCUCACUCAAGCUCUCUCUGUACUGAAGCAGCUGACACCUCUAUCUCUCGGGUCAUUUUGUAAAAGUCCAGCCAUUCUGUCUGUUUAUUGACCAGCAUCAGCAAAUAAUUGCUCCUGUUUCACGUCCAGGUUGGCGACCAAGCGGUUCUCUGUAGUCAUACAUAUUUUGCCACCCCUUCUUUAAAUCCUUUUCGCCUUCAUAAUUGUCAGCAUUCCUCGGGAGACUGGAGUAAAUCAGAACUUUGUGUCGUCAUUGUCUAAUUCUGCAUCCGGCUCACGGGGUUCCUUUAUUAGUUUCAGGGGCUCCUUCCUGUCAGUCUUGUUUUCAUGGGCAGGGUCCUGUUGUCAGGCAAGCAGCACCAAAUAAACGUUCAGUGUGUUUCGCCUGUACGUCGUAUGAAUUAGGAUUUGCCGAACAAUUGCACAGUACUGUAGCAUUCCUACUGAGUGGCUCUGAUGACCCCAUAGCAGAUGACUGUCUCAAACCAUCCGAUCUGAUUUAUCCUUAGUUACUUUCUUCAGUGAGCGGAUCUGGGGUUCACCCACAACGACAAGAAGAAGACCAGAUGGCCUGCUGCCGCAUGUGAUGUAUUGUCCUAAACGCCUGUCCUCAGCUGCCAUCAGUUCAGUAUCCUGGGGGAGCUGGAGUCUGUCUUGGCAAGCCACAGGGACAAGGCAGCAAACACCCUGAAUGGGACACCAGUCCAUCGCAGGGCAGACACAGUCACACUGAUACUCUCACACCAGGGCCAGUUCACCCAGAAGCCAACUAACCUCCACGUACUUCCUUUGAACUGAAAGGAAGAAACCAGAGCACUCGGAGGACACUCAAGAUGUCAUGGGCAGAGCCAGAGCAUACAACUGUAAUGGAAGCGUUCUUUCCGGACCAUAUGCUGACGACACAAU